rnacentral:ncRNA from 1 species
GAGAUAGAGGCGCGGUUUUCAUCAGUAUCCUCCGGGUAGGUCAGGCAGCCGCCGGGGAGGAAAGGGAAAGCCGCCGAAGGGCCGGGCAGGUGCCUGCAUGACCGGUUCUGGGACGUCCGAGAAGAUCGGACGGACUGUCACAAAACUUUGUGGAGCGCUAUCG